GCAAAAUUGAUAAUAAUGGCUACACCUUAUUGCAUCAUGCUGCAGGGCAAUUUAAAAAAGACAUGCAUAAACAUUUUGAAGGACCUAAAUCUAAUCCUGUGCUCCAAUUGCAUGGGGAGCUGCGCUGGUUUGAGAGUGUAAAGAAGAUAAUCCCUUCCUACUACAUCAUGCACCACAACAACGAUGAUAAGACUGCCUUCGAAUUAUUUGAGAAGACACAUGCCAAGCUUCACAAAGAAGCACAAGGCUGGCUAAAACGGACAUCCGAGUCUUGCUCUGUUAUUGCUGUUCUCAUCGCCACCGUUGGU
rnacentral:misc_RNA from 1 species